rnacentral:rRNA from 1 species
UACGUAGGUGGCAAGCGUUGUCCGGAUUUACUGGGCGUAAAGAGCGCGCAGGCGGUCGUUCAAGUCGCGUGUGAAAGCCCCCGGCUCAACUGGGGAGGGUCACGCGAUACUGAUCGACUCGAAGGCAGGAGAGGGUAGUGGAAUUCCCGGUGUAGUGGUGAAAUGCGCAGAUAUCGGGAGGAACACCAGCGGCGAAGGCGGCACUCUGGGCUGGAACUGACGCUGAGACGCGAAAGCGUGGGGAGCAAACAGG